rnacentral:rRNA from 1 species
UACGUAGGGUGCAAGCGUUAAUCGGAAUUACUGGGCGUAAAGCGUGCGCAGGCGGUUUUGUAAGUUUGUCGUGAAAUCCCCGGGCUCAACCUGGGAAUGGCGAUGAAGACUGCAAGGCUAGAAUCUGGCAGAGGGGGGUAGAAUUCCACGUGUAGCAGUGAAAUGCGUAGAGAUCGGUAGGAACACCAAUGGCGAAGGCAGCUUGCUGGGCCAUUUCUGACGCUAAGGCACGAAAGCGUGGGGAGCGAACAGG